rnacentral:tRNA from 1 species
GCCCGGGUGGUGAAAUUGGUAGACACAGGAGACUUAAAAUCUCCCGACUUAACAGUCGUGCCGGUUCGAUUCCGGCCUCGGGCACCA